rnacentral:rRNA from 1 species
CCUACGGGAGGCAGCAGUAGGGAAUAUUGCUCAAUGGGGGAAACCCUGAAGCAGCAACGCCGCGUGGAGGAUGAAGGUUUUCGGAUUGUAAACUCCUUUUUUUAUAGAAGAUAAUGACGGUAUCUAACGAAUAAGCACCGGCUAACUCCGUGCCAGCAGCCGCGGUAAUACGGAGGGUGCCAGCGUUACUCGGAAUCACUGGGCGUAAAGAGCGCGUAGGCGGGUUAGCAAGUCAGAUGUGAAAUCCUAUGGCUUAACCAUAGAACUGCAUUUGAAACUGUUAGUCUAGAGUAUGGGAGAGGUAGGUGGAAUUCGUGGUGUAGGGGUAAAAUGCGUAGAGAUCAAGAGGAAUACUCAUUGCGAAGGCGACCUGCUAGACCAUAACUGACGCUGAUGCGCGAAAGCGUGGGGAGCAAACAGGAUUAGAUACCCGGGUAGUC